UGUUGCAUGCAGGAUAAGGACAUUGGGCUCACCUUCUAGAACCUUCCGGAAAAAGGCACCGGAAUCUACACAGAGAUCGCAUCCAACAUAUUAGGAACUCAAACGCCAGCAAGCCCUCUGAGCAGCUCAGCUGGAGUCUCACAGCACACCUGUCGGGAGUUACAGGCUUUGUCAUCAUCCUGUCAUCAUGACGUCUUCGCCCGACACGGACCUGACCCCAUGCCGAUGUGUUCCCACACGGUCGUCACGUGGGUGCCAUCAAAGACCACUAAACCAACAAGCCCGUCCCCCACCAGCUGUGGCUCCCGACACUGCAACAGCUGUCGACUCUACGGAUGAAUCCUGGAUGAACACUGCGUCAGCAUAUCGGAGCGACCUGGAGCCCUCUGAGACACAUUAUCAUACAGAUUGGGCUGAAGGCAUCGACGAUGUGGAGCUGGUGUGCUGAGGGAACAGGAAUGGGAGAAUUUCCUCCGACGGAAAGCCGGCACGUAGCAGAAGUACAUCCUCGCGAGCUUUUGGGACGAUGAUGAAGUCUGCUGUUACUGGCCCAGAUCCCCUCACAGCACCCAAGCAGAACAUUCUCCUGACAGUAAUCUCCUGCACCUAUUGGGCCUCAGGCUCCAGCAAAUGGAGAGAGUGCUUUCAAGGACAUUGCUUGGGGACGCAUCA